UAGGCGGUUGGAAGAUAAUCCAAAAGGGAUUCCUUUCAGUAAUGGCGAAUGAACGGGGAAAAGCUCAGCAAAGAAAUCGAGGACUCCGGCCUUGAGUUGUGGACUUGAGAGGUAUCGCCAAUGGUGGCACAGGUGGGGGCCUCUUGGAAAAGGGCACCACAGAGGGUGUGAGUCCUGUUUGCCAUCUGUAGUCCGCUGUGUACGGCAUGCCUCCUCCGAGUCACGUUCCUUGGAAUUGGAGCGCGAAGGUGGUGGUGGCUUUCAUCUCAAGCUAAGUAUGGGUUCGAGACCGAUAGCAAACAAGUACCAUGAGGGAAAAUUGAAAAGAGCUUUGGAAAGAGAGUUAAAAGUGCCCGAACUUGCUGAUAGGGAAGCGAAGGGAGCUGACGUUGCUUGGUAACAUCUUCCGCGCAGGACUAGGAUGGGUUCUGAUUGCAAUGUGUGUUGUGUUUCUUGCCAUGCGUGUCAAUGCCAAGUAAUGAGUGGGGAGAGCUCCAGGGAUAAUGAUUGUUUCUGUCCCCGGGUAGACGAAUAUGUCUGGGUGCAUCCAUUUGUGGGCUGAAAAAUUGGUGGUUGGUUGCAGCUCCCUGCCUACGAGGCAAUUGGGGUGUAGCCCUGACACGCAGACGAGGACAAAGUGCUUCUGUUCGACCCGUCUUGAAACACGGACCAAGGAA
rnacentral:rRNA from 1 species